UACUUGAUGGAUAUAUUUCCUUCCAACACAAUACUUAUCUUGUCUAUAUUUUUAUAGUCAUGGUUUAUUUACAGAGAUGUUUCUUAUAAUCAGAAAAGAGGCAUGCAGUAUUCUUAAGUUUAUCUCUCCUCGUUCUUAGGGCUUCUUGGAGACAGAGUUGCAUUGAGACCUGAGCAGGAAUUUUUUACCUUCAUAAGCACAUGGGUGAUCACCUCCCUGGACCCACUGUGGACUAAGGCUAGCUGGGUCAUGGCACACCAGAGGGUGUCACUGAAGCAGGGAAGACGAGCUAAGGUAAAAUGUUUCAUUACUAUUAGAGAUACAGGGAAAGAAUCCACAAUUUAUAAAUAGAAAAGAAAUAUGGGUAUGCUGGCAGGUGUACCUUAUUGUAUACUGUCUUGAUUAGUUUCUGGAAACCUUUUCAGAUGUCUUAUGUUAAUUGUAAGGGCUCAUGCCAAAGUACUCAAAUCUUAUUUUCUCCUUCCCUGCCACAUAUCUCUCUAGGCUAUUUCUCUGACAUAGAUCUUUGUAGACAAUGCAAACUCUUCAAUGUGUCUAUUAGCAAAGUCUUCAAAGGCCACCAUUUCUUCUUUUUUUUUCUUUUCGUGGCUUGUACCCUUCAGCAUGCUGAGCUUUUGAUGUCAGGUAUCAAUUUUUAACUUUUAAUUUUGUCUCCACAAAGUCAUGUAAAGAGAAAUACAAAGGUUAAAAUAAUACUUCUCAUAAGCAUACAGCUACAGAUUUCAUGGCUAAAAAUGGAAAAUUAAUAGUACCUUUCUCUUUUAACUCUUAAAGUGAUAACCACUUCUUGACUUCUGCCUUUCAAUGAGGUCCUUUGGGAAGAGGGUUUGGCUGCAGUUGUACAGAUUCAGCUUCUAGGACAGGAGUCCUUCUUCCCUGGGACAUAAUAGUGCUAAAUAGAAAACACCCCUUUUUAAUGUAAUGCUUAUUUAUUUAUUUAUUUAUUUAUUUAUUUAUUUACUGAGACAGGGUCUCACUCUGUCACCCAGGCUGGAAGCGCGGUCGCACCAUCUUGGUUCACUGCAGCCUCGACCUCCUGGGCUCAAGCCUCCCAAGUAGCCUGGACUACAGCACGCACCACCAUGCCUGGCUAACUUUUUGUAUUUUUGUUGAUAUGGGGUUUUGCCAUAUUGCCCAGGCUGGUUUUGAACUCCUGAGUUCAAGCCAUCUUCCCACCUCAGCCUCCCAAAGUGCUGGGAUUACAGGUGUGAGCUACCGUGGCUGACCAAUGCUUUUGGAUGAAUGUCUAACAUCUGUUUUUCAUCCGUUAAAGAUUUCAAAUGAUUGGUGGGACCUCCUAGUGCCAUCAGGGAGAGGUUAGAGAGGUGGGUAAGGAAUUUAUCCUGGUUGGUUUUUUUGUAGCUAGUCCGUCAAAGGUUCUCAGAUUGGAUAAUGAAGGGGCCAGAGGAAAGCCUCCCUGCUCUUGCUUCUGAAUCGCCAUGUCUUUCUAGAGGUCUUGGGAUUCCAUGUAGGAGUAGGCUCUGGGACCACAGAGGAUGGAGAGGAGAGAGGGGAGGGGUUGAGGAGAAAGAUAGGAAAUGCAAGUGCCAAGGUGGAAGGGCCCCAGGGCUUUUCAGAGUGGAGGCGCUUUAAUUGUCAGGCACCUAGGUCUCAUAUAGGAAAGCCCUCCAACUCCCUCCAUUGUCAGUAAAGCCUGUGACACACACAGAUGUUUUGUGAGUGAGUGAGUGUGUAUAUGUGUGUGUGAAUCAGAUGACAAGAGCCUGAUUUUACAUUUAAGUCAGAAGAGAGAGACAAGAGCAAGUGAGAUUUGGAAAAGAGAAACCCAGCCCUGAAGUGGACUGUAAGGAAGUAAAUUCCCAGGGUGUGCAGAAAUUUCAGAGCUGACGGGAGAUAGGGGGCUGGAGGCAACAUCUGGGGUGCACCCAAACAACCUUGGAGAAUGCUGGGAUGAAGGUGACCAGUGAGUAAAAGGCAGAACUGGGCUCUUAGCCCAUAUCUGUUGGACUUAGGUUAUGAAUAUAAAUAUAAUAAUCAUGAUAAUGACCAUCAUUAAUAUGGUUAAACCUGGACUUGUAAUCUUCAGAACAGCUCUAGGACAUGGCUCUAAGAUGACUCUCACUUCAGACACGAACGCAAACACUCUGAGAGCUUAAGAAACCUGCAGAAACCGAGCAGUGAAUAAGAACCUGAGCUGGGAUUCAAACCUGGAUCCAUCUGAUCCCAGAGUUCUUGAGUUCUUGCUUUUUUUUUUUUUUUUUUUUGAAACAAGAUCUUGGUCUCUCACCCAUGCUGGAGUGCAGUGGUGUGAUCAGAGCUCACUGCACCCUCAACCUCCUGGACUCAAAUGAUCCUCCCGCCUCAGCCUCCCAAGUAGCUGGGUACUACAGGCGCACACCACCAUGUCCAGCUUUUUUUUUAUAUAUUUUUUAUAUUUUUUUAUAGAGACAGGGUCUCUCUAUGUUGCUCAGGUUGGUCUCAAACUCCUGCCCUCAAGUGAUCCUCCAGCCUCAGCCUCCCAAAGUGCUGAAAUUGUACACAUGAGCCACUACGCCCAGCUUCUUGCUUCUUCUUAACCUCUUGCUUUACCUGAAUGCAGAUUAAAAGCUCUGUGUUGGGUUAAGUGGAUAAGGAUAAGCGAAAAGUCUCCUGUAUACCUUGUUAACAUUGUGCAUUUUAUUAAUACUGUCUAAUGGGCAGGUUGGCUGCCACCAUCAGAUGUUAAAUAAAUAAGUACAAACAGCAUCCUGAUAUAAACAUCAUCUGCCAGCUUUGACAGUUGCUCUGAAAUUGCUCUCAGAGUGCUUGGAGAUGGUAGAAGACACAAGAAAAUCAGCAGAAAGCUUUCCGGAUUGAGCCUUUGAUCUCAGCAGGGCUCAGAUCAAGGUCCACCACGCGUACAACGCCUUGGUUUAACCAGCGCCUGAAGGAUUAACACAGAACAAAAGCUCAAAGCACACUACCUGCGUAAUUUCUAAAUGAACACAUUUGCUGCUGUCUCUGUAUGUUGCAGGGUUUACACUGAGGUUCAUUACUUCUCUGCCUUACUAUAGACGGAAUAUUUAUGCAUUUUUCAGCACAGGCUACUUCUCCUCUUGCAUAAUAAUUCAGUAGAAAAACGGGGCAGAGGAAAAAAAACGAGAAAAAAAAUCUGGUUAGUUUUUAUGUUUUGUUUUGAAUAGAUUUUUAAGAAUUAGCAAAUUUAGCAGCUGGACCUAGAGGAGAAGGUGGGCCCUUUCGGGUCAGAAGGCCUGCAUUUGAGCAGUUCAGUGUUCAGGUAACCCCGAGCAUAUUUUCCACCAGUCCCAGUUUCCUGAUCUCUGGAUUUCCAGCCCAGCACUCUUGUUGCUACCACUUACUGCACAGAUCUCUGCAUAACUAUGUGAGCAGACACUUAGCGAGCAGGGCCAUGUGCUUGUGAUAAGAGACUAAUCAGGUAGAACCAACACCAUUGCAAGAGGUUUCCAAGGGGAGAGACCUCUGUGGGCUGGUGGAGACACCUGUGAGGGCAGGAGCUCCAGACAGCCUUUCUUUGCAGGUCCUCUGCCCCACUCACAAAUCUGUGUCCCUUGCAGUCUUGUACCUUCCCAACUGAAGGAACUGCCAUUCUCAAUGACUCAAACCAAACAGUGGGAGACUGGUCAAUGCACAGGCCUCAGGUUUCUCCUCCCAGCCAGCAGGGGGAAGCAGCUGGACCGUACAUGAGGCCUCUCACCUCGGCCAUGACCUCGCACUGGUGACUAGGGGUCAGCCCAUUGUGGGAGUAUUUACACCAUGGAAAUCGGCAAACCCUAACACUAAGGGCUUUGUUUAUUCCAGAGAGCUGGCUUACUGGCACACCACUUAUGUACCCCAAAUUGCUUUACCUCUCUCCAUCCCCACUGAGACAGGAGUAAUACAGGGUGGUCAGGUGGUCACCGGAGACUAGAAACUUCCAGGCAGCAGUGUCGCAUGAUUAGCAAAAGGAAACUGCUGAAAUAGCUGCAGAAGAGAGGGGCCAAUGGGACCCUGAACAACAGGAUGUGGGCCACGCUGGCUAAGACCACUGGACCCAGCGUGGCACUGGAUUUGACCUAGGUUUCACCUAGGACCUCAUUAUAUGCUCAUUAACAUUCUGAGUCACACACCCAUCAGUGCCAGGACAAUUCUGGGAACACACAUGUUUGGUGUAAAAACGGGUGGCAACACAGUUUUGAGAAACCUUUACAUUUUUCUAGGAAUUUUCAUGAAUAUUCCACCCCCCGUUAGAGAAACCCAUAAAGAUGGAAGUCCCAAGUUGCCUCGGGUGUGACUCUCUUGAGUAUUCCUGAACUCCCGUCUUGAGUGCAAGCUUUUCUCUUCACAAUAAAUCUCUGUAGUUUUUUCCAACUCAUCCUUGAAUUCCUUCACAUGACAGCAUCAAGAGCCUUGACACCGGCCGGGGUCGAGGUCUCACUGGCAUUUGGAGACCUCCCCUAGCCCGCUGGUAUCACCACCGCAACCAUCUGAGUCCAGCCUGCCAUCAGCCCUCACCAGGAUAACUGCACUAGUUAGCUUCCCCCACUCCUGCCCCUUCUAGUUCACUCCACUACAGCUGAAGAGGAGUCUUAAACCUAAAAUGGGCCAUAGGUCACAUCCGUACUUAGCUUCUUAUCAAACUUAGAAGAAAAUCCCAAACCCCCACCUGUCCUGCAGGACUCUGCAUGAUUCAGUUCUGUUCACCUCUUCCCCUUCUCCCCUAGGAUCCCCGGGAGGAACCGCACUGACUUCUACUCCGUGCUGGACCAUCCCAUUUCCUCCCAACCUCAGGACCCUUGUCCUCAUCCUCUCUCUGCCUGGCUUAAAUGCAACCUCCUCACAGAGAUCUUUCUGGACCAGCAUUCUGAGUAAAUGACCUCCCAUGUCAGCACCAGUUCAUCUCUAUUAGUCAUGAUUUGGGCUUAUUUAUAGCCCUUGUGCAUUUUAUAACUCUACUUGUUCAUUAUUGUCUUAUAGUGUGUUCUCUCUCAACAAACUGUAAUCUCCCAAAGGACAGGAUCCAUCUGUUUUGUUCACCCAGAUGUCACCAAUGCCUGGUACCUAAUACACUCUCAAUUGGUAUUUGUUAAAUAAUCAGGGGAUAAAUAAGCAUGCUUGUUUUCAGAGCAGAUUUAAGAGAAUAAGAGCUCUGAACUUAGGGUCUAAAGUGAGGCUUCAGGAAAGUAGAACCCCUUUGAAAUCAUGUGGAAAAUAUCUUGUCUGUGGAUCUUUCCUUUUCAGUCCUUUCAAACUGUUGUGCUCCGAAAUCAGCCACCUAUAGUAAAAACUGCGUGGGGGCUCGUGUUGUUUGGACAGCAGUUACAUUGGAAUCAGCCUCCACAUGGCUCUUCACUGCCUCGUUGACGCUCUACUCAGUCAUGGGCGCAGCAACAAUCAACAACGCUCCAACAAGGACCCUUCACCAUUGUUUUCAUAACUGUUCUUUGUAAGUCAGUGAGUUCUUUAGUCCUGGUCAGAUGUCUCCUGGCACCUACAACUCUGAAGACAGUGUGCAGAGGCGCACAGGACAAAUGUGCUUCUGAAGAAACAGUUCAGGGUAUGCACAUUCCCUGAGGAUGUGAGCUCCUAUUGUAUUCAGCAGAGCCAGAGAGAUCUGAUGUUAUUCAGUCUUUUCAGGCCUGCGGCCCCCCAGGCCUUAUGGGAUGUGGGAUGGGGAUCCUGAUGGCCCAGGGGAUGACUUAGAGUCCAAGAGAACACUGCAUAGAGAAGCAGCUGCUGGCUGGUCCCCUUCAUGGACUGCUCUGCCUCUUAGAUCGAUGCUUAAUGCCCAUAUUGAUUGCAAUUGGUUUACUGACUGAAAUCAGCAGUUCCAGAAGAUGUGGUAAACAUUCCCAAAUGAAGAGGAAGAGGAACCAAUCUGUGCAGAGGCGCGCACACGCGCGCACACACACACACACACACACACACACACACAAGGUUUUCUCUGAAAUCAUAAAAUGUUUAUCACAAUAGCAGAUAAUGGAGUAGCAUUAUCUUCAGAACACAAAGGUACCAGUUAAAUCUGUUGGGCAAAAUGUCCCCCACCGCUAGGGACACACACAGAAGCUCAGAGCCAAAUCUCCUCUGUUGUUUUGAUUUCCUACCUCUGUGAUUACAGAAACUGCAAAGUCUUGACUGGGGGUGGCAGAGAGAGCUCAUCUAUUAAAAAGUACUUUUUAAAAAAUCAGAAAAAUAGAGAACAGAACCCAGGAGGGACUAAUUAUAAUGCAUCUCCAGACAUGGGUGGAAGAAGAGAGAAAGCAUUUUGCCAAACCAACAGAUCUCCCGACAUGUAGACCUCUGAGGUCCAGCUAUGAUUCCCUGUGAACAGGCAAAAUCGAGAUGCUUUUCUAGAAAACAUCAUGCCACAUCACAGGUCAGUUCUUCCCAGCAGAAAAUAGAUUUUCACAAUAAUUUAAUUUUAAUAUUUCCUUGUGUAAACUGGAUAUUCUGAGACUCAACCCUGUAUUUUUGAAUACUUGAUGGGUAUGAAGGGAGACAUGCUGCUAUUUUUAAGCUUGCAGAAAUUUUUGAGUUUGUCCUUAGGAGGAAUAUCAGUCCUUUAUUUCAGAAAAAAAAAUUAACCAAAAAAAAAAUCACAAAGCACUUCAAUGAGCCUUUUGAUUUGGCAAAGAGGAAUCCCAAACCCUGCGGAGGAAUGAAGAGAUUCUGAUCAGUGAGAAGUGAAAUCAUGCUGCACGAUCAUCUGAAGAGCUGUCAGCUCUUUGGACAGAAUUCACCUGGAGUUGGUGGUGUGUCUCGGGAGCUGGGCUUGGUAUUUGAGUUUGUGUGUAUCGGGCUCGGGCUGCAGAGGUCUUUCUGUUGUUUCCCAAAGAUUUAAGGUGGUCAGACCCAUAGUAGGAGUUAGGAUUCAAGAUGCUUCUGUUGAUGGCAGGUGGGACGUGGGAUACAGUCCUGGAGAGUCGGUGUAGAAACCUGGUGUCCGGUUGAGGGUUUAGGAGAAGCACGUCUCGUGAAGACCGACUUCUAUGAUGGAACUUGGCUUAAAAUCAUAGCCUUCCUUCAACUUCUUCCUGUCCCUCCCACCUUUCCAUGAAGUUGUGAUAAAUACCAAAAUAGCAUGAUUUUAAUCCUAUUUUGAGAAACUAGGAGAGGCACUUAAUCCACAUUUAGGAUAAAUAAAUACAAGGAUGCUACACACCUACUAGAGUGCCCAAAACCCAGGACACCGAUGACACCAAAUGCUGGCAAAGAAGUGGAGCAACAGGAACUCCCAUUCACUGCUGGUAGGAAUGCAAAAGAGUUAAGCUCCUUUGGAAGACAUUUUUGCAAUUUCUUACAAAGCUCAACACACAAUAGUCUUCUUUGUCCACAGUUUCACUUUCUGCUGUUUCCGUCAACCAUGGUGUGAAAAAAAAACUGGAAAAUUCCCCAAAUAAACAAUUCAUAAGUUUUAAAUUGCAUCCCAUUCUUCAUAGCAUGAUGAAAUCUCUGGCUGUCCUGCUCUGUCCCACCUGGGAUGUGAACCAUCCCUUGUCCGGGGUCUCCACACUGCCUAUGCUGCUUGCCCCUCGGCUACUCAGUGGCUGUCUCGGUAAUCAGAUUGACUGUCACAGCCUCACAGUGCUAGUGUUCAAGUAACCCUUAUUUUACUUAAUAGUGGGCCCAAAGGGCGAGAUUAUUGAUGCUGGCAAUUCAGAUAUGCCAAAGAGAAGCCAUAAAGUGCUUUAAGUGAAAACAGGAAAGCUCUAGACUUAAUAAGGAAAGAAAAAAUAUGGUAUGCUGAGGUUGCUAAGACCUACAGUAAAAACGAAUCUUCUAUCCACAGAAUUGUCAAAAAGGAAAAAGAAAUUCAUGCAGUUUUAGUCAUCUACUGUGGGUCUUGGGACUUGUCCCCGUGGGAUAAGGGAGUACUGUGGUCUUACCAUACAAUCCAGCAACCUCAAUCUUUGGUAAUGACCUAAAUGAGAUAAAAAUGUAUGGCCACGCAAAAACCUGCAUAUGGAUGUUCAUGACAUCUUCAUUCAUUAUUGACAGAACUCGGAAGCGACAGUGAUGUUCUUCAGUUCGUGAAUGGAUAAACAAACAGUGAUGCAUUCAGACAAUGGAGUUAGUGUUUGGAAGAAACUUUUUUUUUUUUUUUUUUUUUUGAGAUGGAGUCUCACUCUGUCACCCAGGCUGGAGUGCAGUGGCACGAUCUUGGCUCACUGCAACUUCCACCUCCCAGGUUCAAGCAAUUCUCCUGCCUCAGCCUCCCAAGUAGCUGGGACUACAGGCACGUGCCACCAUGCCUGACAAAUUUUUGUGUUUUUAAUAGAGACGGGGUUUCACCAUGUUGGCCAGGCUCGUCCCAAACUCCUAAAUUCAGGUGAUCCGUCCGCCUCGGCCUCCCAAAGUGCCGGGAUUACAGGCGUGAGCCACUGCAGCCAGCCUUGGAAGAAAUUUAAAUGCAUGUUACUAAGCAAGAGAAGCCAACCAAAAAUGCUACAUACUGUAUUACUUCAAAUAUGUGGCAUUCUGGAAAAGGCAAAACUUUUUGGAGACAGAAAAAGGAUCAGCGGUUGCCAGGGUUUAGAGGGAGGGCAGGAUGCAUAGGUGGCACACUGAGGAUAUUUAGGGCAGUGAAACUGUUCUGCAUGACACGGUAAUGGUGGAUGCAUUCCAUUAUACAUUUGUCAAGACCUAUAGAAGGUCUACCACCAAGAGUAAGCCCUACGUAGACUAUGGACUUUGGGUGAUAAUGACCUGUCAAUGUAGGAUUAGCAAUAGUAACAAAUGCACUGCUUUGGUGAAGGACACUGAUAAUGGAGGAGGCUGUGCACAUGUGGGAACAGGGUAUAUAUGUGGGGAAUCUCUGUAUCUUCCACUCAAUAUUGUUAUGAGUCUAAAACUGCUCUAAGAAACAGUCUAUUCUUUAAGAAAUAGGAGAAAAGAGGAGAAGAAAGAGGGGGCGGGGGAAACAGGGAGAUCUGUAGGCUCCUGCGGAAGGUCAUUGCAAAAUACUGGUGAUUCCAGGGAAGGUUGGAACAGCCUCUUUCUGAGAAAAAAUGAGUGUGGCAGAUGUCAGCAGAUACAAUCAUCCUCUGCCGCCUGCUGCUCUUCCUUUAUUCUUGGGUCUCUGAGCUUCUCUUUCUUGUCUGAACCCCUUUGCACACAAGGAUUAGCCAAUCAGAAUGCUUUCUCCCACUGGCAACAGUGAAGACUCCAUCCUGGAGAAUCAGAACCUUCUCUAGGAUUUUUGUUGAACUUUCAACUGUUGGUUGAAAUGGUUGCCGUGGAGAUGGUCUCAGCCUAGAGCGGCUGCUGUUCAGCUUUGGCCCCUGAAGGGAGAACACAUCUGAGGAUGAAGAAUGGUUGAGGCAUUUGUUCCUCUGGUUUUCUCUCUGCUCCAGUGCAGUAGGCACUGGGGCAGAAGUGGUUCCUCCAUUAUUAGCAGCCCAGGGUUCUUUCAACCUGCCUACAUCUGGAAAAUACCUCCUUAUCAAACUCUUCAUCACCAGUGUCAGUUCAUGGAAGGAAUCCUUAUUGUCCCCAUCUUAAAGACCUCCGAAACGAAACCAGAGAUACUGAAUGAUUUGCCUGGGAUGACUCCGCUACCACUUGGCACAGCCACGGUGCAAACCCAGUUGGGCUGGCACUGAACACCCAGACUGUAGAUCCCUCCUGCCUGACUCAAGAGCCUCUGUCUAUAUGGAAGCAAUCAACUUAAGGUGCUGGCAGCUGAUAAAGACUUGAUCUCUAACUUCUCUCAGAUAUCUACAUCUAACUUAGUUUGGGACAAGGGAUAGCUUGCUGGGGUCAGCAAACUAUGGCUUGUGGGCCAAAUUGGGUCUAUUGCCUGAUUUUUACAAAUAAUUUAUUGAAGUGAAAUUCAUAUAACAUUAACCAUCCUAAAGCCAGCAAUUCAGUGGCACUUAGUACAUUCCCAGUGUACCCCUCUAUCUAGUUCCAGGCACUUCCAACACUCCAAAUAAAACUCUCUUAUGG